rnacentral:rRNA from 1 species
UACAGAGGUCUCAAGCGUUGUUCGGAUUCAUUGGGCGUAAAGAGCGUGUAGGCGGCCUGACAGGUCUGCUGUGAAAACUCGAGGCUCAACCUCGAGAUGUCGGCGGAAACCGUCUGGCUAGAGUCCGGAAGAGGAGAGUGGAAUUCCUGGUGUAGCGGUGAAAUGCGUAGAUAUCGGAAGGAACACCAAUGGCGAAGGCAGCCGCCUGGGCCUGAUCUGACACUGAGACACGAAAGCGUGGGGAUCAAACAGG